CUCUUUCUGCGAGACCAGGAAACAGCCCGGCCACCAGCCCUUCGCGCAGGGAAGCCGAAGGAGAAAGGUCCAGAAAUGAAACAUCAAGCCAGACAACAUUACAGGUAUUCCUUCUUGCUUCAAACCUCUCACCUUGCAAGCUGGCAUCUUGACCCAAAAGCAGCAGUUCAGCCCCUGGCCCUUCCUGAACUUCCACUGUGUAGAAACCACCCGCACCACUCAAAUGUGACCCCCAAUUCACUGAGGCACGACAGCACUAAAAGAAGGAUGGACACGACACCUCAAAAGUCCCUCAAUAUUUUCAGCCUUUAUCUCCAAAUAUUAUUAUUCCCCUCCAGCUGUCGAAGACGGAUUAUUGAAAAAUUAUUAUUUUGAUAGCUAUGUGUGUGAAAUCCUUGUCCUGACUAAAAUCAAAGAUAGAUUGCCACCGACUUCAAUCAAAUAAAAUAUCACUUUUAUCUAA